GGAAAAGAAACCAACAGGGAUUGCCUCAGUAACGGCGAGUGAAGCGCGCAAAAGCUCAAAUUUGAAAUCCCCCGGGAAUUGUAAUUUGAAGGUGGCCUCAGUUAGUCCAAACAUUCUUAAGUCCAUUGGAAAAUGGCGCCAUGGAGGGUGAUAGCCCCGUAAAGAUGUCGUUUGUUCUAUUUUCUCUGGCCACCAAAGAGUCGAGUUGUUUGGGAAUGCAGCUCUAAGUGGGUGGUAAAUUCCAUCUAAAGCUAAAUAUUGGCGAGAGACCGAUAGCGAACAAGUACAGUGAUGGAAAGAUGAAAAGCACUUUGAAAAGAGAGUGAAAAAGUACGUGAAAUUGUUGAAAGGGAAGGGCUUGCAAGCAGACACAACCUCGUGUUGGGCCAGCAUCGGGGCGAGAGGAAGUAAAAACGAUUUGGAAAUGUAACUUUCGAGUAUUAUAGACCUUAUCCCUCCCUUCCAUCUCAUCCCGAGGCCUGCGGUUUAUCCUAGGAUGCUGGCGUAAUGGUUGCAAGUCGCCCGUCUUG
rnacentral:rRNA from 1 species